rnacentral:lncRNA from 1 species
UGACGGGGUUACUCCAAUUACCUGCAUCAAACAUGUCUACAAGAUUUGCAGAUUCUAAUCCUUCCGGUUGUGAUGGUAUACCGGGGUUAGUAGCUGGAACAGCAGCAGCUAUUUGAUUUAACUGAGAUUCAAUCAUUUUAUUAAAGCUAAUUUGAUUCUUGAUGGCAGUAGAAAAAUUAUCCAUUCUAUUAUUUAUAUUUUCUAGCAUUUUAUCAUUUGAUGCCAAUUUCUUAGAUAGAU